AACGAACGCUGGCGGCAUGCCUAACACAUGCAAGUCGAACGCCAUGGUUUCGGCCAUGGAGUGGCGCACGGGUGAGCAACGCGUGGGAACCUGCCCAGCAGUAUGGGACAACCGCGGGAAACUGCGGCUAAUACCGCAUACGCCCGUCUUUGGGAGACCAGGGGCGGGGAAAGAUUGAUCGCUGUUGGAGGGGCCCGCGUCGGAUUAGGUAGUUGGUGGGGUAAAGGCCUACCAAGCCUGCGAUCCGUAGCUGGUCUGAGAGGAUGAUCAGCCACACUGGGACUGAGACACGGCCCAGACUCCUACGGGAGGCAGCAGUGGGGAAUAUUGGACAAUGGGCGCAAGCCUGAUCCAGCAAUGCCGCGUGAGUGAUGAAGGCCUUAGGGUUGUAAAGCUCUUUCACACGCGACGAUGAUGACGGUAGCGUGAGAAGAAGCCCCGGCUAACUCCGUGCCAGCCGCCGCAGUAAGAC
rnacentral:rRNA from 1 species